rnacentral:rRNA from 16 species
GCUAACGCAUUAAGUGCCCCGCCUGGGGAGUACGGCCGCAAGGCUAAAACUCAAAGGAAUUGACGGGGGCCCGCACAAGCGGCGGAGCAUGUGGAUUAAUUCGAUGCAACGCGAAGAACCUUACCAAGGCUUGACAUGGGCUGGAUUGCUUCGGAGACGGGGUUUCCCUUUUUUGGGCUGGUUCACAGGUGGUGCAUGGUUGUCGUCAGCUCGUGUCGUGAGAUGUUGGGUUAAGUCCCGCAACGAGCGCAACCCUUGUCUUAUGUUGCCAGCAUUUGGUUGGGGACUCAUGAGAGACUGCCGGGGUUAACUCGGAGGAAGGUGGGGAUGACGUCAAAUCAUCAUGCCCCUUAUGUCUUGGGCUUCACGCAUGCUACAAUGGCCGGUACAAAGGGCUGCUAAGCCGUGAGGUGGAG